rnacentral:tRNA from 1 species
GCGCCCGUAGCUCAGUUUGGAUUAGAGCACAGACCUCCGAAGUCUGGGGCCAUGGAUUCGAGUUCCAUCGGGCGCGCCA